GACGGGGGGGGCAAGUGUUCUUCGGAAUGACUGGGCGUAAAGGGCACGUAGGCGGUGAAUCGGGUUGAAAGUGAAAGUCGCCAAAAAGUGGCGGAAUGCUCUCGAAACCAAUUCGUUUGAGUGAGACAGAGGAGAGUGGAAUUUCGUGUGUAGGGGUGAAAUCCGUAGAUCUACGAAGGAACGCCAAAAGCGAAGGCAGCUCUCUGGGUCCCUACCGACGCUGAGGCGCGAAAGCGUGGGGAGCAAACAGG
rnacentral:rRNA from 1 species